GUGGGGAAUAUUGCACAAUGGGGGAAACCCUGAUGCAGCAACGCCGCGUGAGUGAUGAAGGUCUUCGGAUUGUAAAACUCUGUCUUUGGGGACGAUAAUGACGGUACCCAAGGAGGAAGCCACGGCUAACUACGUGCCAGCAGCCGCGGUAAUACGUAGGUGGCAAGCGUUGUCCGGAUUUACUGGGCGUAAAGGGAGCGUAGGCGGAUUUUUAAGUGGGAUGUGAAAUACCCGGGCUUAACCUGGGUGCUGCAUUCCAAACUGGAAGUCUAGAGUACAGGAGGGGAAAGUGGAAUUCCUAGUGUAGCGGUGAAAUGCGUAGAGAUUAGGAAGAACACCGGUGGCGAAGGCGACUUUCUGGACUGUAACUGACGCUGAGGCACGAAAGCGUGGGGAGCAAACAGGAUUAGAUACCCGUGUAGUCC
rnacentral:rRNA from 1 species